UGCAUUCACUACUGUAAGUCACUCUGGAUAAGAGUGUCUGUUAAAUGCAAAUCA
rfam:Salmo salar isolate Sally breed double haploid chromosome ssa12, whole genome shotgun sequence.